AGAGUUUGAUCAUGGCUCAGGACGAACGCUGGCGGCACGCUUAAUACGUGCAAGUCGAACGGGAGAAGAGGAGCUUGCUUUUCUGAUCUAGUGGCGGACGGGUGAGUAACACGUGAGCAAUCUGCCUUUCAGAGGGGGAUACCGAUUGGAAACGAUCGUUAAUACCGCAUAACAUAAUUGAACCGCAUGAUUUGAUUAUCAAAGAUUUAUCGCUGAAAGAUGAGCUCGCGUCUGAUUAGCUAGUUGGUAAGGUAACGGCUUACCAAGGCGACGAUCAGUAGCCGGACUGAGAGGUUGAUCGGCCACAUUGGGACUGAGACACGGCCCAGACUCCUACGGGAGGCAGCAGUGGGGAAUAUUGCACAAUGGAGGAAACUCUGAUGCAGCGAUGCCGCGUGAGGGAAGAAGGUUUUAGGAUUGUAAACCUCUGUCUUCAGGGACGAAAAAAGACGGUACCUGAGGAGGAAGCUCCGGCUAACUACGUGCCAGCAGCCGCGGUAAUACGUAGGGAGCGAGCGUUGUCCGGAAUUACUGGGUGUAAAGGGAGCGUAGGCGGGAUCGCAAGUCAGAUGUGAAAACUAUGGGCUUAACCCAUAAACUGCAUUUGAAACUGUGGUUCUUGAGUGAAGUAGAGGUAAGCGGAAUUCCUAGUGUAGCGGUGAAAUGCGUAGAUAUUAGGAGGAACAUCAGUGGCGAAGGCGGCUUACUGGGCUUUAACUGACGCUGAGGCUCGAAAGCGUGGGGAGCAAACAGGAUUAGAUACCCUGGUAGUCCACGCCGUAAACGAUGAUUACUAGGUGUGGGGGGACUGACCCCUUCCGUGCCGCAGCAAACGCAAUAAGUAAUCCACCUGGGGAGUACGACCGCAAGGUUGAAACUCAAAGGAAUUGACGGGGGCCCGCACAAGCAGUGGAGUAUGUGGAUUAAUUCGAAGCAACGUGAAGAACCUUACCAGGUCUUGACAUCGUAUGCAUAGCUCAGAGAUGAGUGAAAUCUCUUCGGAGACAUAUAGACAGGUGGUGCAUGGUUGUCGUCAGCUCGUGUCGUGAGAUGUUGGGUUAAGUCCCGCAACGAGCGCAACCCUUACUGUUAGUUGCUACGCAAGAGCACUCUAGCAGGACUGCCGUUGACAAAACGGAGGAAGGUGGGGAUGACGUCAAAUCAUCAUGCCCCUUAUGACCUGGGCCUCACACGUACUACAAUGGCUGUCAACAGAGGGAAGCAAAGCCGCGAGGUGGAGCGAACCCCUAAAAGCAGUCUUAGUUCGGAUUGUAGGCUGCAACCCGCCUACAUGAAGUCGGAAUUGCUAGUAAUCGCAGAUCAGCAUGCUGCGGUGAAUACGUUCCCGGGCCUUGUACACACCGCCCGUCACGCCAUGGGAGUCGGUAACACCCGAAGCCUGUAGUCUAACCGCAAGGAGGACGCAGUCGAAGGUGGGAUUGAUGACUGGGGUGAAGUCGUAACAAGGUA
rnacentral:rRNA from 1 species